UACAGAGGGUGCGAGCGUUGUUCGGAAUUAUUGGGCGUAAAGGGCGCGUAGGCGGCGCCACAAGUCACUUGUGAAAACUCUGGGCUCAACUCAGAGCCUGCAGCGAAACUGUGGUGCUGGAGUAUGGGAGAGGUGCGGUGGAAUUCCCGGUGUAGCGGUGAAAUGCGUAGAUAGUCGGGAGGAACACCUGUGGCGAAAGCGGCGCACUGGACCAUAACUGACGCUGGAGGCGCGAAAGCUAGGGGAGCAAACAGG
rnacentral:rRNA from 1 species